rnacentral:rRNA from 1 species
CACGUAGGGCGCAAGCGUUGUCCGGAAUUAUUGGGCGUAAAGAGCUCGUAGGCGGUCUGUUGCGUCCGCUGUGAAAACUCGGGGCUUAACCCCGAGCCUGCAGUGGAUACGGGCAGACUAGAGGUAGGUAGGGGGAGAAUGGAAUUCCCGGUGUAGCGGUGAAAUGCGCAGAUAUCGGGAGGAACACCGGUGGCGAAGGCGGGUCUCUGGGCCGAUACUGACGCUGAGGAGCGAAAGCGUGGGGAGCGAACAGGA